rnacentral:lncRNA from 1 species
GCAGCGGCCGGCACUACCGCGCUGCGAUUUGCGCAGAGCUGAAGAAGCCCCUGACCAUUGAAGAGGUGGCCCCCGCCCCGUCGGGCCUCACGAGGUCAGAGUUGAUGUCCAUUUCUGUGGAGUUAACUUUGGUGAUAUUUUGAUCUGCCGUGAUCAAUAUCAGGAAAGGCCCCAUCUUCCCUUCACACCUGGUAAUAUAGCUGCUGCUGGAAGUGACGAGAAGUGCAAGCUGGCGAUGCAGAGGGGUGCGCAGUCCAGCGUGAACUACAGUCAGGGCAGCCUGAAGGAUGCAGUCAAUGAUGCCUUCCUUCAUGUGAUACAGGGGAAAUCCGUGGGCAAGGUGCUUCUCGCUCUUAAAUAAAUCCUUGCCUGAGCAGCAAAGUUAACAUGUCCAGAUCAAAACUCCACAUCUUUCCCCAAAACCUGAUUUCCCUUCUGUGUUUCCAAAGGUGUUACCACUUUCCUUACUAAUCCAGGUUUAAAAUCUUGGAGUCACCUUUGAUUCUGUUUACUAAUUGCUCCUAAUUAAUAUGAUUAUAUAGUUUAUUGUCCAAACCUUUUCGAGAGUAAAAGGGUGCCAUUAGUAAUUACAUCAGGAAAACAUAUCCCAGGCAAACCAGGAUAUAUGGUCAGCCUACUUGAUGCAUUAUGAAAUGCGGUGAUUGCCGAGUUCUGUCAUUCUCACCUCUAAGAUAUCUCUCAUGUCCAUAUCCUCUUUUCCAUUCUGACUAAUUAAGCCUCAACUGCUAUUACCAGUGACCUUCUAACUGCUUUUCCUACCUUUAAGCUAUUCUCACCCCCUCCAUCCUUGUGAUGCAUUAUUGCCAUCGUGAUCUUCCCGAAGCAUAGCUCUGACUAUGGCCCAUCUCAGAAAACCUACAGUGGCUCACCAUUGCCUGAUGGUGGAGUUCAGAGCCCUUGAGCUAGCAUUUCAUUAUGACCGUGAUUUUUCCCCGCACCACUUUCCAGCCUUGUGGUCCACAAUUCCACUGGGCCUUAAGUAUGUACUGAACUUUCCUGCCUCCCUCAUUUUGCUCUGCUUGUGCAAUUUUUUCCACCCUCCAUCUCUGUCAAACGUAAGCCUUCCUGACCUCUAAGACCUACCUUUGUCAUGUACCUUUACCCUCAGGCAAGGAGCAAUCUCUUCUCUUCCUCUUCUACCUUGCUGUAGCUUCUCCCCAAGGAUUUAUCACAUUCUGCCUUGAAUCAUAGGGAACAGCAUGUGUAGUGGAAUGAACACAGGCCUCUGAAUCCAAGAUACGAGUUUAAAUCCCAGCUUUGGAGGUGGUUACUUAAAGUCUCAGUGCCUUCAUUCUUCUUCCUAUAUAAAGUAGAUAUUACAAUAUCUAACUUACAGAGUCAUUGGGAGCUAUACAUGCAGCGAUUGGGUAAAGCACCUGGCACAUGGCAAGCGAUUAGCAAAUGCUGGUUACUUCUACUUCUUUCUCUUCCCUUUUCCCAGUCUAUCAUAAUUUCCUUGAGAGCAGGCACCAUGUCUUAUUUACCCUUGUAUUUCC